CCUACGGGUGGCAGCAGUGAGGAAUAUUGGUCAAUGGUCGGAAGGCUGAACCAGCCAAGUCGCGUGAGGGAGGAAGGUCCAGAGUAUCGUAAACCUCUUUUGUCAGGGAACAAAGACUGCGACGCGUCCCCGGAUGAGUAUAACCUAAGGAAAAGCCUCGGCUAACUCCGUGCCAGCCGCCGCGGUAAUACGGAGGAUGCGAGCGUUAGCCGGAUUUAUUGGGUUUAAAGGGUGCGCAGGCGGUCUGUUAAGUCAGCGGUCAAAUCUCGGGGCUCAACCCCGGCCCGCCGUUGAAACUGGCAGUCUGGAGUGGGUGAGAAGUAAGCGGAAUGCGUGGUGUAGCGGUGAAAUGCAUAGAUAUCGCGCAGAACGCCGAUUGCGAAGGCAGCAUGCCGGCGCUACACUGACGCUGAGGCACGAAAGUGUGGGUAUCGAACAGGAUUAGAUACCCUAGUAGUC
rnacentral:rRNA from 1 species